GACAGAGGGUGCGAACGUUGCUCGGAAUUACUGGGCGUAAAGCGCGUGUAGGUGGGUCGAUAAGUCGGGCGUGAAAUCCCUGGGCUCAACCCGGGAACUGCGCUCGAAACUGCCGAUCUUGAGUGCCGGAGAGGGUGGCGGAAUUCCUGGUGUAGAGGUGAAAUUCGUAGAUAUCAGGAGGAACACCGGUGGCGAAGGCGGCCACCUGGACGGCUACUGACACUGAGACGCGAAAGCGUGGGGAGCAAACAGG
rnacentral:rRNA from 1 species